CUCCAGAUGUUGCUGAACUACAACUCCCAUGAUUCUCUGGCUAUCUAUUUAAAAAAAUCAUGGGAGUUGUAGUUCAGCAACAUCUGGAG